rnacentral:lncRNA from 1 species
CUGUAGCAAUUAUUAAUGGGAAAGUGAGGGGCUGCAGAAACAAAGGAAAAGCAGUUAGUAAGAAAAGUAAUGAUGGCUUAAAUAAUAGCUUAAGGGAUAUAGGUAGAAAUCUGAUAACAUACCCGAGCUGUUCUGCAGAAACUAAGACCCAAGUAGAGGAUGGUGACUACACGCAGACUACAAGCACAUAGCCUCUAGAUUGGCUGGAACAAGAAUGGUGAUGAUGAAGAUUUCUGAAAUAUCACCCUCUAACCUCCUUACCAACCAAUCAGAAGAAACUCAAUCCUCACCCUAAAUGUUGCCUUUAAAAACCCAUUCCUGAAAACUAUUAGGGAGUUUGGGUCUUUUGAGCAUAGUUUCCUUGUUCUCCUUGUUUGCUCCUAAAAUAAACACUCUACUUUUCUUCACUACAACCCAAUGUCAAUAGAUUGGCUUUGCUAUGUGGUCAGCAAACAGACCCAAUUUCACUUCAGUAAAAUGUUUACCCCAUAAAAACCCCCAGUAUGUAAGGAACUUGGAAUUCAUUGCUCCCAAGAGUUUUCAACUUGCCAGUCAAACUCUUGCAAUAAACUCCUCUUUUUGCUUUGUUUUAUUCAGUGUGCAGAGUCUAUUUUUUUGACAUGAAAAAAGACAUGUUAAAAUUCCCCAUAUCCCCACUUGAGAGUCUUUAUUGUUCUUACUGUUCAAUAUUACAUUUAGUUCAAUGGUUCUGUUAUUCAACUUUGGUCCAGAUGUUUCUUCCUUAGAAAACAGUGAAGUAGAAUAUUUCUUACAUAUCCUUCUGUCUUUGAUAUAAGUGCAGGGCCCAGCAUUCCAACUGAUUUUAUAUGUUGGAAGUUUACCCUAGGCAUCCAUGUACAUUUAGAGAGGUUCUUUUGAUUAGCCUAUUUACAGCUGACAGCUGAAAGGGACAGAGCUGUUGCCUUCCCAGCAUACAUUCACCCUGGCCACUGUGGGCAGUUGAGAUGAGUGAAUGCAGUUGAGAUGAAUGUGACCAUACUCUCAGUUUAAAGAUUGCUCUGUAAUCUCAGACUUCAUGCCUCAGUGAUUGAUUUAAACAUGCCUAUCUCAGUUAGCACAAAGCAAAUCAGGAGACUUCUGGUAGGCUAAGUAAAUGGCCUCCCAAACAUGCCCAAGGCCCAGUCACCUAAAUCUGUGAAUAUUACCUUAUCUGAUAAAAGGAAUUUUGCCUACUGGAUUAAAUUAAUGAUUUGUGGUAUAGAGAUUAUCCUGGAAUAUUCCCUUGAGUUCUAAAUGAAAUUACAUGGAUCUUUAUUAGAAGGACUCAGGAGGAGUCAGAGAACAAAGAGAAGGUCAUGUGCAGAUGGAAGCAAAGAUUGGAAUGAUACAUUCUGGAGAUGGGGAAAGGGCCUACCAGUCAAGGAAUAUAAUCAACCUCUGGAAGGAGCCACUAGCAAUUGAAAAAGGCAAGAAAACACAGCGCUCCUCAGCAGUUUCAGAAGGCAUCAGGCUUGCAGAUGCCUCAACUUUAGCCUAGUGAAAAGUGUUUCAGAUUUCUGAUCCCUAGAGCUCUAAAUUUUUGCUAUUUUAAGCCACUAAAUGAGUGGUGAUUAGUUACAGCAGCAAUAGAAAACUAAUACAGGAUUAGGAUACAAUCAGUGAGCUUUUCUUGUAUAGCUGGUUAUAGGUUUCUAUGUGGUAUAUAGAACAGAUAUGAGGUAUGAAAUCAUUUCUGCCAUUAACCACUAUGUUAAUGAAAAGGAGAGUAAAACGAAAUUUGAAACUGACAAGUAAUGAGAGUAAAACUAAAAAAGUUACAAAGAGGCAGGAUCAAAACCUGCUUAAAAUCUGCAAUGAUUCAGGACGGUUGCAAUUUCAUACAUUUAGAGAUUCUCAUUACUGAGACUUUUACAAUCACUUUCAAUGAGAAGCAACCUCAUUGAUAUAACAGUUUUACACAAGACAUCAAUAUUUUAGAAACAACAUCUAAUACGGUUUCCUAGUUGGAUGAAGCAAGAAGGAGGUCCUCUUGGUUUAGAACAGCAUAAUUGAAUAGUAAGAACUUCAAAGCAGGCAUAGUGUUAUGGUGCCUGUUUUAAUCACUGCUAUAUCCUCAAAGUCUGCAACUGUUCAAUGAAUAUAAAUAGGUAUUCUAUAAAUAUUUGUGGAAUGGGUUGAUGAUUGAACAUAAGAAGUACAAAGUGUUACUACAGUACCAUUAUCAGACAAUCUUGACUUCAAAAUGUUUUGAGGUCUGAGAUACUGAAUAUAAACUGACUAGACAGUAAACGAAAUAGAACUCUGACUCACAAACUCUGCAACACUCAGCACCAGCCAGAACUUGGUCCAUGACUGUCAGCUUCCAAAUUUUUGCCCUGAUUUCAAAUCAAGACCAACCAAAGAAAACCAAAUAUAUUCCCCAAUCCAAUCACAUAAGAUGCCUAGCUUCUACUUGGACUUGAGCUUCCCACUCUCAGGAGCUUUCAAUCAGAACAUCCCCAAGUUCUUCCCUUUUUACACAAUAAACCUUUCUCAUUUUUUUCCAUCUACUGUUGAGCCUCUGUCCAACAAAAUGAUUUGGCUGACUCUGAAUAAAUAGGUUCUGUUUCCUCUAAUUUGGAUUGUCUACAUUUAUUUCCACAGCCAUACAAAGGAGGAUGACACUGAUUUUUAUUUUAACUUUUUGAUUGUCUUAGUCAUUUAUGAAUAAGAAUUAGGUUCUGUGAAAUAGUAUCUUCUCAUUAAAAUUUCACCAAGUAAAGUAAAUAGAUAAGCAUUAAAUUGUUUAUGUCCCAAAAUGACAUCCUACUGAUUCAGACUUUGCUUACAGUUUGACCACUGGGGUUUCAUUUAAUUCAUUUAUUUAUUUAUAUAUUUUUGUCUUUUUAGGGUUGCACCCGUGGCAUAUGGAGGUUCCUAGGCUAGGGUCCAAUCUGAGCCUCCAGCCUACGCCACAGCCACAGCAAUGGGAGAUCUGAGCCACAUCUGUGAUCUACACCACAGCUCACGGUGGAUCUUUAACCCAGUGAGAAAGGCCAGCAAUCAAACUCAUAUCCUCAUGGAUACUCACAUCAUCAUGGAUACUGAGCCAGGACAAGAACUCUUAAUUCAUUUAUUAAUUUUAGAAGAGGCAUGCAAAAAUUAAAAUUCUCCAGAUGUAGGGCUAAGUACAAUGGUAAGGUACUUAGUACUGAGAUCCUGCUCCUGAUCUCAGGGAGUUUACAUUCUAGAAUCAUAGAAAAGGCACUAAGUGGCAUGUUCACAUAGUUAUAUAUUUAAUUAUAAUUUUAGUCAGGGCCAAGGGUAGAAAUUCAGGAAGAUAAAAUGAUAUGCUUCAAGGGUUCCAGUAUUGACUUAAGGGGUCAACUGAGAAGGACUUUAUGAUCAAAUUGCCCCUCCCAUUAAUUACCUUCAAAAACUUUAGGGAUUAGUCCUGAUUCCAGGAAGAAGUUGAAAUCCAAUGACUGUAAUUGAAUUCCUGUCAUUCUGGUAGAAUGGGACAUAAAAAUAGAAAUAAUUUUGGUUUAUUGGAAAAUAAAGUUCCAUUUCUUUCAUAUUAGAGAUUUUGGACUCUGAUUCAUACCCACUAUACUUGUAUACCCUAAGGAGUUGAAAAUGAUUAUAUCAGACUCAUUAUUUCCUUUGUAGAAAUAUCUGUGCUUUUAUAGGGAACUAGCCAUUUGAAAACAAGUGAGGAAAGAUGACUUGAAAACUCCUUGGCUUUUAUUACUUCAAAACGCAGGACACAUUCCAUAAUUUAUCACCAAACCUGUCCUCCCCUACUUUUCUAGUUAUCAUUUCUCUUGGCACUCUUAGUGUUUUCAGCAUGUCAGCUUCUUGUCCUUUUACAUAAAACCUAUUUUCCUAGCUUCCUUUUUCCAUUCAUGUGUUGUAGUCAACUUGAAUUGCCUUAUUUUCUUUCUUUUGCUUAUAUACUUAUUAUGUAUACCAAGGCUAGGUAUGAUCUCUAUGAGUUUUUUCCCAUCUAACCCAACUUGAAUAAAUGGUAUCAAUUCUCUACUUUACUUUUAUGAUAUAGCACAUUUUCAUUUAACUAAUUCAGUAUUCUGAAAUAUUUGGAGACAAAAAUUAUACACUUUAGUCCUCUUCAUUAACAACAUUGAUUAUAUGAUUGUUCAAAUUUCUAUUUGACUUUUAUUUUACCUAGAUAUAUAUUUUUAUGAAAUUAAUUUAACUUGAAACAAUAUAAUGCUUCAUACAACUAAAAUGUGAUCUCAAAGAUAUAUCAUAAUUAUUUCAGCAAUAUUUGCAAUUUUGGAAAACAUUUACUUGGAUAUGUUAUAAGCAGAAAUUUGCAGUGGUUUAAGAGGCCAGGUUCUGAACCAGACUGUCUCAUCCUGACUUUUGGAUCUGCUACUUACUAGCUGUGUGAACAUGAGAAAAUGACGUCAAUAUUUGUGUCUUCAUUUCUUGAACUGUUAAAUGGGGAUAUUUAUAGUACUUGACAUAGAGUCUUAUAGGGAGAUAUCAGUGGAUUGAAGAGGUUACUACAAUGUCUUUCACAUCAUAAUUGCUUAGCAUAUUUUACCCAUUAAUACUAUUAUAGUGGUAGGAAAAGAAGGCAAGGAAUCAGUGUUGAUGUCAGUAUAUGCCAGAAAAUAUGCUUGUUAUUUCAUCCAUCAAGGAGCUAUAGUCUACUGAGGGAACAAAAAUACAAGAAGAUCAAUGUUCACCACCAUGUUUGAUGCCACAAUAGAAGAAUGUACAUGGGACAUUGUGAACAUUGUGGGAGCAGCACUAGAGAACAAUCAGGGGUUAGCUAUGGAGUUCUACCAGAAGCUAGCAACAAAGAAAAGGAGAAGCAUGUUCCAGGCACACACAGGCACACAUGAAUGCAGUGGUACUGGGAGACCAGGGCACAUUGAGCCUCUGCCUAUAAUAUGUUAGUGGUACUGUAUGUUGUGGUCAACAGAGGAAAAUACACAUUAGAUUAUGAAAGGGUUUAGUACUGCAUGUGAAGGUGUUUGGAUUUUACGUAGAAGAUAUUGGUAAAAAAUUAACCAUGAGAAUUUUAUUAUUAGGUGAUUAGUUUAAAGCAACUAUUUGUAAAGACUGUGGCCAAUAGAAUAGGAGGAAAUGAGGUAGAAGUUGGGAAGUCAAGUAGAAGGUUACUGCACUAAUUCAGAAAUAACCAGCAGAGCCCUAGAUGGAAGUAGAAACAUUAUACAGAGGGAUGAUAGUAUCAAGAGGGCUGAUAAGAGAAAAUAAUCUAGAGGUGGAAAUGGGAAAUUAUGAGGUAUGGAAAUGUUUGCAUAAAUAACAUGUUAAGCUAAGAGGGAUUUCAAAAUGAAGAAAAAUAAUAGGAUAUAUAUAUAUAUAUACACACAACUGGCUACAUGAUUCUGAAUGUUAAAUAGUCUCAGACUUAAAAUAGUUUUGGUCAGUCAACUAGUGUCAGUAAGGAAAUAUUGGCCUUAAAAGACACAUUUGAUCAGCAAGGUAUAAUAAAUAUAAAUAGUACAUUCCAUCAAAAAUAGCACAAUGCACAUUCUUUUCACAUGGACAUGGAAAAUUCUCUGGAAUAGAUCAUAAAAUAGGCCAAAAAAUUAGUAUAAGUAAAUUUAAGAAGACUGAAAUCUUAUCAAGCACCUUUUCCAACCACAAUAACAUAGGACUAGAAAUCAACUACAAGAGAAAAAAAAAAUACAACCAACUGAAAAAAAUACAAAUGUGUGGAGGCUAAACAAUAUGCUACUAAACAACCAAUUGGUCACUGAAUAAAUUAAAGGGGAAAUAAAAAAAUACCUGGAGGCAAAUGAAAUCAAAAAUACAAUGAUCCAAGACUGAAGUUUAUGGCAAUACAAACUUACCCUAUGAAACAAGAAAACCCUAAAACAACUAAAUUUAACACUUAAAUGAACUAGAUAAAGAAGAACAACUACAAUUUUUCUUCUACUAAUUUUGGAUUUUGUUUUUCUUUCUCUA